rnacentral:rRNA from 1 species
UACGUAGGGUGCAAGCGUUAAUCGGAAUUAUUGGGCGUAAAGGGCGCGUAGGUGGCUUGGCAAGUGGAAGGUGAAAUCCCUCGGCUCAACUGAGGAACUGCCUUCCAGACUGCUUUGCUUGAGGCCGGGAGAGGCGAGUGGAAUUCCCAGUGUAGCGGUGAAAUGCGUAGAUAUUGGGAGGAACACCAGUGGCGAAGGCGACUCGCUGGACCGGUUCUGACGCUGAGGCGCGAAAGCGUGGGGAGCAAACAGG